CUGUCAGGAAAAGAAAAGAGAGAGAACAAUGGAAAAGUCUGGUCUUAUAACUUGCGGUGCCCGACCCCUUGCCCAUGUGUGUACAUUUUAACAUCAAUUGGGGAGAGAGAGACUCAAAUAUCCCAUUCAUUUGUACAUACAGGGCACGUUUGAGUAGUAAGGCGAAAGCAACUGACUGUAGAUUAAAGUCAAGGAGUGACGUCUGGGGAGGUGCAUCUGCAACAGCCGAAAAUCGGACGCUGAUGUGAUUUACCAACAGACAUCUACAUCACCUGGUGUAACAGAAAGACCAAGAAGAUAGUCAAGGACCUCAUUCCUCCAAGCUACGGCCUGUUCACCCCACUACCAUUUAGAAGGCGGAGACAGUACAGCCAUUUUGUCCAUAUCCUGACGUGGUAUCCAGGGGUGUGUACUACCUCGUGACGGGUUGCUCUGACAGAAGGGGAAGGGUCGGACAUACUUGGGAAGAGGUGGCUGAUUGUGAGCAUGUGCAGUCCCCUCUGGUGUGUAGCCUGACCAAAGAGUUUCUCUGCCUGAAACCCCACCUACCACAGCCAGGUGUUCGCUGUGUUGGGGAACCACAUCUCACGCCCGACCCACCAAGAUGGCUUAAAACUCAUCAACGACAAUGAGUAUCAGCAUUUCCUCAGGGUUAAAGUUCAAAUACUUUGGAGUUGUGUUCAGUAGCACUAACAGAGCUUGCACCUAUACAUUCUCCAUUUUAAAAACAUCUGGUCCCUUUGGAGAGACUUUCAAGAUGCAGUGAGUCAGGUCAGAACCUAGCAUAUUAAUUUCUUACAAACAACAGUUACAAAUUCCAAUAAAACUAGGCUACAUGGUAUUGAAGUUCACUUUCCUUGCUUUGUCUAACAACACUAUAAUGAAUCUAGCAAAUGUGUUCUGGGUCAGAGUGCAGUAUUUAUUUAGUUUCAUUGCAGAAAUGUUUGUUAGCACGUUUCUCACACUGGCUUUAUCCACAGAGGAAGCAGGCCUGCCCCAGCAAGGAGUGUUGCCUAGCAACGCGUGCCUCGGAGGGAGGAGUCUACAUUGCACAACAAAUGACCAUGAUUUAGGAAUCUGUUUCGGACCCAACAGCUAGCCUGAUAGCAAAAAAUGGCUCUAAAAAAUAUAUGCUUUCAGCUAAUAGGGAGAAGUAUCCAACAAAAUAACUACACUAUGGCGUUUACUAAUCAUAAACUAUUUACAUAUCAUAUAAAUGUCGGUACGUUUGUGGACAAAAUUCUUACUUACUCAACCUUUAAAAGUCCAAUACAGUCGUUUUUAUCUUGCUAUCAAAUCAUUUCUGAGUAACGAUUUAAGUACCUUUUAUAGUGAUUGUUUUCAAUUAAAAUGGUCAACAAGAAACAAAAAGCUUCCAGAUAAUUUUUUAAAGACUGUCUGGGAGUGUUCUGAGUGGAGAGGGGAAACCAGCUGUUAUUGGCAGAGGUUUGGAAUGCUUUCUUACUGUUCUAUUAACUAAUUUACCGCCUGGUGAU
ensembl:lncRNA